rnacentral:tRNA from 2 species
AGGGUUGUAGCUCAGUUGGUUAGAGCGUUUGGUCGACAUCCAAGAGGUCGUGAGUUCGAAUCUCACCAACCCUA